rnacentral:rRNA from 1 species
GAUGAACGCUGGCGGCGUGCCUAAUACAUGCAAGUCGAGCGAACGGACGAGAAGCUUGCUUCUCCGAUGUUAGCGGCGGACGGGUGAGUAACACGUGGAUAACCUACCUAUAGGACUGGGAUAACUUCGGGAAACCGGAGCUAAUACCGGAUGAUAUUUUGAACCGCAUGGUUCAAAAGUGAAAGACGGUCUUGCUGUCACUUAUAGAUGGAUCCGCGCUGCAUUAGCUAGUUGGUAAGGUAACGGCUUACCAAGGCAACGAUGCAUAGCCGACCUGAGAGGGUGAUCGGCCACACUGGAACUGAGACACGGUCCAGACUCCUACGGGAGGCAGCAGUAGGGAAUCUUCCGCAAUGGGCGAAAGCCUGACGGAGCAACGCCGCGUGAGUGAUGAAGGUCUUCGGAUCGUAAAACUCUGUUAUUAGGGAAGAACAUAUGUGUAAGUAACUGUGCACAUCUUGACGGUACCUAAUCAGAAAGCCACGGCUAACUACGUG